CCUACGGGAGGCAGCAGUGGGGAAUAUUGCACAAUGGGGGAAACCCUGAUGCAGCGACGCCGCGUGAGUGAAGAAGUACUUCGUUACGUAAAGCUCUAUCAGCAGGGAAGAAAUACUGACCUUACGGUCAGCAGACGGUACCUGAGUAAGAAGCCCCGGCUAAAUACGUGCCAGCAGCCGCGGUAAUCCGUAGGGGGCAAGCGUGAUCCGGAUUUACUGGGUGUAAAGGGAGCGUAGACGGUGCGCCAAGUCUGGAGUGAAAUGCCGCAGCUUAACUGCGGAACUGCUUUGGAAACUGGCGAACUAGAGUGCGGGAGGGGUAAGCGGAAUUCCUAGUGUAGCGGUGAAAUGCGUAGAUAUUAGGAGGAACACCGGUGGCGAAGGCGGCUUACUGGACCGUAACUGACGUUGAGGCUCGAAAGCGUGGGGAGCAAACAGGAUUAGAUACCCGGGUAGUC
rnacentral:rRNA from 1 species